rnacentral:lncRNA from 1 species
UCAUUCAAUCACAUAACAUUUAAAAAUUCAUAUCAUUCCAGAAAUUUUCCAACGUCAAAAACAAUAUUUAACUCUCAAACUAUCAAAAUAUAAUAUUUAUAAAGUUUAAAUAAUAUAUAAACAAACACACAAUAUAUAAACAAAUAACACCCCUGCAAGAGAAAUUCAAUAUUGGGACCACGUCCCUUCCGCAUUCAGAUCUUCUAUCCUAGGGUGCUAUUAAAAUUUAAAUUU